rnacentral:lncRNA from 1 species
UGGGCACCCAGCUGCCAGCUCAGCUGCCAGUGUGGCUAAAAUAAAGCAGGCAGAGGAACGUGGAAGGACUAGACUGCCUGAGUCUUCUGACCUUCAUCUUUCCCCUGUGUUGGAUGCCUCCUGCCCUCAAACAUCAGACUCCAGGUUCUUCAGCUUUUGGACUCUUGGACCUACCCCCCGAGUGGUUUGCCAGGGGCUCUCAGGCCUUCGGCUACAGACUGAGGGCUGCAUUAUCAGCUUUCCUACUUUUGAGGUUUUGGGACUUUACUGGCUUUCUUGCUCCUCAACUUGCAGAUGGCCUGUUGUGGGACCUCACCUUGUGAUCAUGUACAUGAGGGAAAUACACACCCCUCCCAGGGAUGAUGGAAGGUUAAGGUCCUAACACCUCCUGCACAUCUGAGCAGCUGCACAUUGAACCAGAUAGUCCUGGAAUGUGGGAAAACAGAGGCAGACUCAAGAGUCUGGAACAUUAUUUUAGGAUCACACAAAAAAGAUACAUAAUUUUCAUAGGU